rnacentral:rRNA from 1 species
UACGGAGGGGGCUAGCGUUGUUCGGAAUUACUGGGCGUAAAGCGCACGUAGGCGGCUUUGUAAGUUAGAGGUGAAAGCCCGGGGCUCAACUCCGGAAUUGCCCUUAAGACUGCAUCGCUAGAAUUGUGGAGAGGUAAGUGGAAUUCCGAGUGUAGAGGUGAAAUUCGUAGAUAUCGAGAGGAACACCGGUGGCGAAGGCGGCCUUCUGGACAGUGACUGACGCUGAGACGCGAAAGCGUGGGGAGCAAACAGGG